UCCGGAGGUUGCAACCGUUGUUCGGAUUUACUGGGCGUAAAGGGAGCGCAGGCGGUUAGGUCAGUCUGAAGUGGAAGCCCGGGGCUCAACCCUGGAAGGGCUUUGGAUACUGCCUAACUUGAGUUCGUGAGAGGAAAGCGGAAUUCCAGGUGUAGCGGUGAAAUGCGUAGAUAUCUGGAGGAACAUCGAUGGCGAAAGCAGCUUUCUGGCACGAUACUGACGCUGAGGCUCGAAAGCGUGGGGAGCGAACAGG
rnacentral:rRNA from 1 species